AUUGAACGCUGGCGGCAUGCUUUACACAUGCAAGUCGGACGGCAGCACAGAGACGCUUUCCUCUUGGGUGGCGAGAGGCGCACGCGUGAGUAAUAUACCUGAACGUAUCGAGUUAUGGGGGAUAACUAAUCGAAAGAUUAACUAAUACCGCAUAUUCUCUGAGGAGGAAAGCGGGGGACCUUCUGGCCCUGCGUUCUUCGAGCGGCCGAUAUCUGAUUAGCUAGUUGGUGGGGUAAAGGCCCACCAAGGCGACGAUCAGUAGCGGGUCUGAGAGGAUGAUCAGCCACACUGGAACUGAGACACGGCCCAGACUCCUACGGGAGGCAGCAGUGGGGAAUAUUGGACAAUGGGCGCAAGCCUGAUCCAGCCAUGCCGCGUGUGUGAAGAAGGCCUUCGGGUUGUAAAGGACUUUUGUCAGGGAAGAAAAGGAUGUUGCUAAUACCGACAGGUGAUGACGGUACCUGAAGAAUAAGCACCGGCUAACUACGUG
rnacentral:rRNA from 1 species